CAUGUGCUGCCGCUUUGAGUAUUGAAUUUGUUGAUAUUUAAACCCAUCGUGUGUCGUCUGUAUGGUGGACAAGAUCUGCCAUCCAGAACCUCCCAGUGAAGAAUUUGUAGCGCCAGCUGCUAGAAAUGCUGCUGGCAGAAUGUCUUCAGCUGGCAGCACUUGCAAGGAUUGCCUCAGUUGCAAGGCUUGCCCUCCACCCCUGCCGCCCCGGGGCAGCCUCUGUCCAGCGAUUGAUGGAGCGAGGGUAAAGAGACUUGGCCAUUUUGUCCGAGAUGGACCAACUCUGAUCAUUCACAUUAGGUCCAGAGGCUAUGGUCAGGCAGACAUUGCAGCUUGACUAUUCCCAACGCUCAACCCUGCUCCCCACCCCUCCCAGAUACUGAUUCCAGGAACACUUCAUAAUAAAUAUCUCAUGAGCUAAACCCCAUCUCCGAAUCCGUUUCUCAGAGAAUGUAACCUAGAACAUUGUAUCUGCAUAAUAAUGAAACACAUUUGCCUACAAUACACCUUUUCCAGUUACUCUUUAAGGUGUUUCAAUAAACACCCUCAUACAUAUAUUUGAGGAUAUUGGUGAAAAGUCAUACUCAAAUGGAUAUGAUUUUUUUCAUUUGAUGGCUAAUUUUGCUUCAGUUUAGUAUCCCAUAACCAUCCAGAAUCUUAUCCUAUUUUGAUUUACAGAAGUCGCAAUAGCUCUCUAACUGCAAAUCUCCCCAACUCCAACAGUAAAUCUUUUAAGAUUAAUCAGCUCUUUAUCUAUUAAGCACCAGUUUCUGCAGUAAAGAGUGAUCCACGUCACCACUGUAGCAAUUUUCUGAAUCACCUCCCCAAGCCCCUGACUUAGAAAUCCAUUCCAAAUGUUGUACUAUUAUUUUUUUCAUAAAUCAUUCCAAACUGCUAUAUAAACCUUAAGAUUAGGUUUUCAUCAAUAUCAUAUGAGCUUUGCAAUGUUGCUCCAGCAAAAUAACAAUGCAGUACAACUUUUAAUGUUUACUUUUUUUGGAAUAUUUGACAUAGUAGAAGGUCUUUAUUUUAGAGUAUUCCUUUUAGGGAGAUUGAAAAGGUACAAGUUAUGAAGGGCUGAUCAUCCAACACAAAGAUCAUCCUUCUAUGUACUUCUGUUACUGCCUUUUGAAUAUUUCAUUGCUCUGUAAGGCCUCUGCUUUGUGGUCAGCUAGGGAGCAGUAAAGGAAAUAAACAAGAUUCAAACUACUAAGUGAAGUUCAUCUAAUUUAAGCUUUGGAGAAUGAUAUAACGACUAGAAAAAAUAUAAUAUUUGAGAUAUCUAGGUGAUUUUUACACACAUAAUAUAUUGCCGUGUUGAGACAAUAAGCCACUAAAGUUUUGUAGUAGUUUUCAUACCUCUAAUGGACCACCUUACAUUUAGUAAGAGAAACCAGGAACCAUGCCUUUUCACAAUCAGUGGCAGAGGAAGGAACUGAACCCAAACAUGUUGAUUCCUGGUCCAAUGCUCUUUCAUUCGUUAAUCAGAGUUUCAUAGACUGUCAAUCACAGUUCUCCAUUUAAUAUUCUUCGCAGUGCAAUCUAAGAGUUAAACAAAUUUUUCUGAGGAUUUUUUGGCAGGUAUCCCCCACAAAGGGCUGAUCUCCAUUUCGACAUCGAAGCACAGGUAUAAAGACCUGGCAUCCCAGCCAGCUGGAGACAAAGCAAAGGCCACCAGCACCAGAGCUCCCUGGAGUCAAACAUGAGUAUCACAAGGCCUGACUUUUCCCUCCGUUCACUUGCUUUUAUCUCUACUCUUUUCCCUUGGGUUAAUCCCAAGAGCACUCUUAACAAACCUUCAGAUGCUCACCUCCACCUCAAAACUCUGCUUCUUGUAAAAGCCAACCUGCAAGAGAGAAGAUGCUUUCAAAUCUCAUUCUACCUCUGCCAUUAAAUAUUUGUGAAUGGAAGAGAAAUGUAUCCUUCCUGCCCCUCUGAUUCUGACUUCUGCUUUCAUAUGAAAAGCAAUAUUUUUAAAAAUGCUUUUGUUCUUGUAAUGCAGCUAACUCUGGACCCCUUCCUGCUAAACCAAGACCACUUCCUAUCGUCUUAGUACCCAUUCAUUGCCUUCUUGUUUUAGUAAAGACCUAGGAUCUAAAUCUCGGCAGUGUCCCCAGUUUUCUCCAUUAUUAUUCAGCGGUGGUCCUUCUCUAACCCAUGUCCUUGGUCAACCAGACCUACUGCUGCUACGUAACUUCAGACCUUCCUUUAAAGUCUUGGAGUGUCUUUUAACAACUCCUUCAUGAGAUCACAUUAAUACAUCAUUACACAUGUCGUCUUUACCAAGAGUCAACACCCUGCACUUGUCUGUGCCAGAGAUAAAGUCUAAGUCUACAGGUGAGUCAGUAGCUUCAGAAAAUUUGUGGCUGUUUAAUGUCUCCCUUGCCCCACUCCGGACUGAAAGGAAACCCUCCUCAACUUUGAUGUAUUUCUUCCAGAGAAUCAGAUAAUUUAGACAGAGUUACUGAGAAUGGAAAAGAAGUUAGAGGAGAACCAGGCUAACUCUGAUCCAAAGCUGAUCUUACUGCAGCCAAGAAGACUAGUCAGAAAAAUUGCAUCAAAAGAGAAAAAAAAAAAAAAGGCCUAAUUCAUUCUGGGUACAGCAACAAGGUAGCAGUCUGCAAACCAGGAAAAACGCCUUCGCCAGACACCAAAUCUGCUGCCAUCUUGACCUUGAACUUCCCAGCCUCCAGAACUGAAGUUGCCAGAGGAGGUAUUUCCACCAAAGAGAAGAUAAAGCCAGAAAAAGAGACAACAUGUAUUCCAGGAAUGAUGGAUCUAUUAUCACAGGAUGGAGGAUACCAUCAGCAGCCCUCCAGGGCAAGCCAGCCAGGAAGAUUCUAAGGAGGGAGGAGUGAGAUUGAUUGGGAGUUUGGGGUUAGUGGAUACAAACUAUUGCAUUUUAAAUGGAUAAGCAAUGGGAAUUCCCAUUGUGGCUCAAUGGUUAAUGAACCCAGCUACUGUCCAUGAGG